GGGGCUGACUUGGAUUUCGACAGAUUUCUUGUCGCACAGAUAGCAUGCCAAGUGCUACUUGUAAAACAGCAACAAAAAUAACUGUAAACAACGCAGAUUACGCUCCAGCUUACGCUAAAGUUGCGUGAGUUAAUCUCCUUUUGGAGCUGGACUGAUUAGAAUUUCUAGCGUUUUAAUCACUCCAUAACCUUAAGCUAGACGCUUUUAAAAGGUGGUUCGCCUUUUAAACUAAGAAACAAGAACUCUUGAAACUACCUCAAGGUUUUAGAAAGUUGGACCAGAGCUAGUUUUAAGGCUAAAAACUAACCAAUUUUCUAAGCAUUGUAGAAGUUUGUGUUUAGGACAAGAUUUUUGGACUGGGGUUCGAUUCCCCACAGCUCCACCA
rnacentral:tmRNA from 1 species